GGGAAGAUAUUUUAUACCUGGAAUGAACAUUUGCCUCAGUAGCCUUUGAGUAAAGCAGAUGACCUGCUGUAACGUGGGUGGGCCUUAUCUAAUCAGGUGAAGAACAUAAGAGAAAAAGGAAUUUGAGGUCCUCCAGAGAAGAAGGAGUUCUGCCUGAGUUUCCAGCUUGCUGCCCUGAUGACACUGGACGUACGACUGAAACAUCAACUCUUACUGAAUUUCCAGGCUGCUGGCCUGCCCUGGGGAUUUUGGACUUGUCAGUCCUAAAAUCAUGUGAGCAAAAGACAAGAAGAUUCGGGCUUCCCGGAAGCGGAAUCACGCAGGUGUUCCUACUUGAGGCGAUUUCUUCCCGGCGGUGAGUGAGAGAUCCAGGUUCCUGGCCAAACUGGUCCUCUGCCAUCAUCAACACCUGCCUCCCAAGGUACCCCUGUUUUCAUUUGUUGGUUGGUUGCUGUUGGUGUUUUUUGUUGCCGUCGCUUCAGUGCCGCACGGCAGGGAGAGAGAAAACACGUACACGCUUACCCAUGGGAGGUUUCCGUGGUGUACAUCCUUCGACUCACAUUCCUUUAGCCAGAACUCAACCACACAGACACAUCAAACGCUGAGACCAGCUGGGAGGCGAUGCCAAGCUGAGAAGAGGGAUGAUUUGGUUUGGGAUCAGUUAGUAGCCUCUGCCCAUGGAUAAAACCGUCCGUUGAUGCGUACGCAAGCAGUGACAAGACUCAUCCCUUGCUGCCGGGACUGUACGUUGGUACAAUCGCUUUGGAAAUCCAUUUAGCGCCAUCUUGAGAAGCUGAAGGUGACUCAGAAGCUCCCCUCAUUGGUAGAAACUCUAGAGAAUGUCUUGCAUGUGUGUCCGUGUAUAAGCACGCUCUCAGGAGUAACGCCUCUCCUACCGCAACCUGCAGGCAACCCACGUGUCUGCUGGCAGGAGAGCCGAUGUAUAGAGUGUGAAGUGAUCGACACUGGAAUAUUGUACAAAAGUGAAGCAAGUUGACUGAAUACAUAGGCAACGUCCUCAUGCAUUUUAGAAAUGCACAGUUGAGAGA